ACACAGUCCCCACCCCCAAAGGCACAGGUAGGAAGACAAGCCAUCGGGCACCCUCACUGUCAUGUGCCAUGUAAAUCUCAGCAGGGGGCUCCAUGGAGGCUUUCCUGAGAAAAAUAGCUAAAUCGAGAAUGUAGGAACAAGAAAUGAUGACUCAGGUGAAGGAGCCAAGAAAGGAGGGGGAGAGAAAAAGGCCUUCUGGGCAGAACGUAUGCAAAGGUCCAGAGAUGAAAGAGUGUGACAUCUUUCUGCAAACCGUUGAGCAAGACCAUGGAGGCAAAAAGAUGAGAGAGACAUCUCAGCAGUAAGGAACCUGUGGCAAGUCAUACAGAAGAUUGCCCAUAUCCUGGAAAAUGCUCCUGCCUGGACAGGAAACAUGGGAGGAAUCCCUUGCUGAGACAUCAAGAUGGCUCCAGGUGAAAAUGGAUGGAGCUGACCAUGGGAAAUAUACUGGAAAUUCUUAAAGCAUUAUAUGGAAUCAUCUCUACAGAUAGCCCUUCAUCAAAAAACCUGAAAACAUUAACAGACUGUGGGUAGCACAUCUGUUUAAAUUCAAGAAUAAAGAAGACUGUGUCAGCCUCAGCCAAGAUUGCACCUACCUGUAAGAAACAGAAAAACUGACUCUAAGGGGCUUAGACAUAAACAAAUCUUAGGCAUCUGUAUUCUUACAAAGCAAGAAGUUCGGAGCCAGGUGGUCAAUGAGAUUACGGGGGUUAUUUGUUAGUACAUCAUAACCUAGCUUAUACUGACAAAGCAAGCUCACAUGAAAUGACACCCAAAAGACCUGUGGCAAAGGGUCUAAAACAGGAGCAUGUAUUAGCAAUCUCUCAACCAUAUUUUAAUUUCACUGGGGUAAUUGUGGGUAACACAUCCUUCCAAAUGGAAAGUUUUCCUUUUCAAUUUCAAAUUAAGGACUCUCAGGAUUGCAUUCAGCUGUCAACAACAACAGCAACAACACAAAAAGCCUGACUUACAAUGUCAUAAGCUUAUAGUAGCGUUUAUAUUUCUCACACAGCAAGAUGUCUGGAGGUAGGCAGUCCAGAGCUGGUGGUGUAGUUCAUUCAUAUCAUCAGGAAGUCAAACUCUUCUCAUUCCUGUCUUGUUCUGCCAUCUUUUGUGUGAAGGCUCAUGCUAAGAUAGCUGCUAUAUUUCCUGGCAUUGCCUCCACCUUCCAGAUAGGAAGAAGGGGUAAGCAUAAAUGAACACUAUAGCUGUGUUUCACCCCUUUUAUCAGGAAAACAAAAGCUUGCCAUAAAUCCCCACAGCAGAUUUCCACAAAGGUCUCACAGGCCAGAAGCAGGUCAACCUGGACUCUCUUAGUACAAAGGAAGCUGAGAAACAGCAUAUUUGUCUUUCUAGUAUCUGGGGUAGAAGAAAUAAGGAAGAAAGGUGUCAGCUGAGUGUGGUGGUCAUGAAUGCUACUUACUAAAUAUGUCCAAUUCUCUUUCCUUCUCGGGACAUGUCUACUUGUGUUUCUUAACGCCUCUAUGGUUGAGUGGGGCCAUAUACUUAGUCUGACCAAAGCAUUUUUAAUAGUGAUGUGAAACCAUCCAUAGCUCUCUUCUUCUCAGCCUGGUGAUUGGCAAUGUUUGAGAUGGUGGCUACUCCAUCAGUAAUGUCUCCUGAGUGUCUAAGAUGUGUGGCUGGCUCCCGUGCUGACCUACAAAAGUAAUCUAGCAUAAGAAACAAAUCUUUGUGUCUGAAGCCACAUAUAUUUUGCAGUUGUUUGUUACUACAGCUUACCAUAGCCCAUCCUGACUGAUUCAAUGAGUCAACUUAAAAUGUCAGCCAGAAGGAACAAGUUUGAGAGGCAAGUAGUCUCAGGUAGGCCAAUGUCUUAGAGAUCUCUGAAGCAAUACUGAUUUCAGUGGGAUGAUAUCCUGAGGCCAACUUUCUCUACUUCAAGUGCAGUUAAGUGGUCUUUAAUUCAUACUGUUAUAGCUGUCCUUGUACUGCCCAUGGGACAUAGACAAAUUAUCCCUCUCUCCUGUGUCUCUACACAGGUGAGUAGCUAAUGAAACAUAGCGUGUUCAAGGUAAGCCACCAAAUUUAAUAUGAACUUCCAGGAUGACCACCCACAAAAAUUUAAUGUAUGAUAAUGACAGAUGGCAUAGUUUAUGACAAGCCUAGUUAAUGAUACAAUUCACAUGUCUGCAUUGCUGAGACUGCCCUUAAGAGGAAGCCAAAAAAAACUAGGGGUGCGGGGAGGUGACUAAGAGUUAAAGCAUUAAUGGCCUCUUCAGUUACAUUAAGAAUCUGAUUUUAUCUCUGAAUAUACUAUUUCACAACCUCAGCAAAGUCAAUAGAAAUUCAUUCAGUAGUGACAGGGCUUUUCCACAAGGACUCCAAAGCCACCAGUAUCAAGCCACUGUAACAGAGGCAAGUCAUUUGGGAGAAGAAAGGGGACAUUAGGAGACUUUAGUACAAAGGAGGUGGAUUGCUUGACUAGCUGUUUCAAGUUUCACUGUUGUUCAUGUUUCAUUUUUAACUACUACCCCUGGUCUUACCAUGGGAUGAGAGAAGUAAGCCACAUGGAUUUGCGCCAGCAAAACGCUUAGUUCCACAAAAGAUAGCAACACCGAAUCUUCCACAACAUGCUUCUGUGCUAAAAGUCACUUAACAUAACUUCAGGCUCAUCUGGAUGGAAAUGUGUGGAGAGUAGGGGGAGCAACAAGGAGAGUACUCAAUGGCUACAAGUGUCAAUGCUGAUUCAGUCCCUUCGAGACAGUCCUGUUCCAGUUCCCACUUGCAAAGGCCAAAGCUUAGUUUGAAAACAGCAAUGGAAGAACAGAAGGUCAUUGUCACGUAAUGCUACACUUCCAAGGGAGCUUUCAAGUGCUCCUUUAAAAGAAGGUAUGUGAGGGGCACCUGGGUGACUCAGUAGGUUAAACCUCUGACUUUGGCUCAGGUCAUGAUCUUGUGAUUCAUCAGUUUGAGCCCCACAUCAGACUCUGAGCUGUCAUGGGUUCGAGCCCCGAGUCAGGCUCUGUGCUGACAGCUCAGAGCCUGGAGCCUGCUUCAGAUUCUGUGUCUCACCCUGUCUCUGCCCCUCCCCUGCUCACAUUCUCUC